AUUUAUAAUAUUUAUGGUGCUGGAAAACCAUUAUGAAUUGAUUUGCCAACCCAAACCGUAGUGUUAAGGUUAAAUGGACAUGCUGUUGUCACAGUUGUCGUUGUCCGAGUAGAAGAGAAGUCAUCCAAGUCUUCCAUGAGCAAACGCCAUCUGGUGUCUGCCAUCGCUUUUGUGUUCUUUAAACGAUGGCCAACCGAUAACCCCAUUCCUUCUUCUUCUUCUUCUUCUUCUCUCUCUCCUGUCCACAAUCAUAGAAGAAGAAGGAAACUAGCGAUCUCUCAGGUGGUGCUCUCCUGCCCCAUCCGAAGAGGUAUGUCGUGUUAGCGGUUUAUUUCGUUUCCUUCAGCCAUAUUUCCAUGGUAGAUUUGUGCGCAUGCUGAUGUGCUAACGAGGUCGAGUGGCGGAGGAGGAAGAAGAAGAUGGGGUUCGUGGUGGUUAUAUCGGUGCCGUUGAUUCUGCUGGUGGCGAUCCUGGCCCUUGCUUGCUACCUACUCGGCCGGAGAAAGGGCAGGACGGAGUCGACGCCCAUGUACUACGGACCGCCUGCGCCACCCAUGGCCGCCGGACCACCUCCCAAGUGAGUUAGCCGAUGCAAAGAGACGAUGUGGAGUAGGUUGAUUACAAGGUUUGAAUGGCUUUUGGUUGGGCAUGCAUGUGUCGCUUAGUUGAUGUCCAAUAGUGACCUAAUCUUGGUUAUGUAACAUUCCAAACUCGAGCUGUCUGACAUCUGCUGGGCUUUCCUAGGACACCAUUCAAGUUGACACACACACACACAACACACACAGAGAGCAAAGAGCAGUGAGGUAUCAGAUGUUAUGGACAAGCAGUAUAGAAUUUGAAGGGACAAUUGACAUGCAUGAGAGAGGACCUCAGCCCUUCCAGCAUGCUCUCAGUUGUUAGAAACAAGAGUUCUUGCAUCAGAGUUUGGAAAGGCAGAACACAAACUUGGAAGGGACAGCAGCUGGAAUGUCAUAUCUAAAGGUACUCACAAGUGCCAAGCAAGGGCAGCUCCUUGAACUGUGAACCACAGCAAUCAAGCGUCCAUGGGAAGGGGCAAGCUUUUCCCAGUGGCGGACAGACCACAGGUGUCCAAGUGCAUGCCAAGGCUCAAAACACCUCCAUGCAGCAUCAGGUUUUGAAGGUACCUGCCAAACCAGGCCGAGGUGAAGAAGGAAUGGUUAGUAGAGUUUUCCGGCAGCUCACCUUCACCUUCGCCUUCUGGAAGAGAAUAAGAGAGUGCACCUGUCGAAUCCCCUGUCUCGGAAUGCAAGGCAAAAGCUCCGCUUUAUACAUGAGAAAAGGGACGGUGACUGAAGCUUUACAUUACUAUGUACACUCUGGUGGAGAAGAUCCACCGCACCUCACGCAAAAUGGCGACCUCCACGGACUCAGUCACAAGCGACGCAGGCCAAAAGAGUACCGUCGUGCCUCUCGGCGGAGAGCGAUGCGUCUCGGGUUGCUCCUUCUGCUGGACUCAUUCCUCCAUUUGUAAUCCAUGGAUGCCCUGUUGUUGCAAUCCAAGAAUCAAAAUCUUAGCAUCAUAAAUAAUUAUAUUGCA